rnacentral:rRNA from 1 species
GAGGAAUAUUGGUCAAUGGACGGAAGUCUGAACCAGCCAAGUAGCGUGCAGGAUGACGGCCCUAUGGGUUGUAAACUGCUUUUGUAUGGAGAUAAAGUUAGGGACGUGUCCCUAUUUGCAGGUACCAUACGAAUAAGGACCGGCUAAUUCCGUGCCAGCAGCCGCGGUAAUACGGAAGGUCCAGGCGUUAUCCGGAUUUAUUGGGUUUAAAGGGAGCGUAGGCUGGAGAUUAAGUGUGUUGUGAAAUGUAGACGCUCAACGUCUGAAUUGCAGCGCAUACUGGUUUCCUUGAGUACGCACAACGUUGGCGGAAUUCGUCGUGUAGCGGUGAAAUGCUUAGAUAUGACGAAGAAUUCCGAUUGCGAAGGCAGCUGACGGGAGCGCAACUGACGCUUAAGCUCGAAGGUGCGGGUAUCGAACAGGAUUAGAUACCCUGGUAGUCCGCACAGUAAACGAUGGAUGCCCGCUGUUGGUACCUGGUAUCAGCGGCUAAGCGAAAGCAUUAAGCAUCCCACCUGGGGAGUACGCCGGCAACGGUG